rnacentral:rRNA from 1 species
UACAGGGGGGGCAAGCGUUGUUCGGAAUUACUGGGCGUAAAGGGCCAGUAGGCGGCCGAUUAAGUCCGACGUGAAAUCCCCAGGCUUAACCUGGGAACUGCGUCGGAUACUGAUGGGCUUGAAUUCGGGAGAGGGAUGCAGAAUUCCAGGUGUAGCGGUGAAAUGCGUAGAUAUCUGGAGGAAUACCGGUGGCGAAGGCGGCAUCCUGGACCGACAUUGACGCUGAACGGCGAAAGCUAGGGGAGCAAACGGGAUUAGAUACCCCGGUAGUCCUAGCCCUAAACGAUGAAUGUUUGGUGUGGCGGGUAUCGAUCCCUGCCGUGCCGAAGCUAACGCAUUAAACAUUCCGCCUGGGGAGUACGGUCGCAAGGCUGAA